GACGAACGCUGGCGGCGUGCUUAACACAUGCAAGUCGAACGAUGAAGCCUUUCGGGGUGGAUUAGUGGCGAACGGGUGAGUAACACGUGGGCAAUCUGCCCUGUACUUUGGGAUAAGCCUUGGAAACGAGGUCUAAUACCGGAUAUGACUGGCCUUCGCAGUGGGGGUUGGGUUGAAAGUUCUGGCGGUACAGGAUGAGCCCGCGGCCUAUCAGCUUGUUGGUGGGGUAAGUGGCCUACCAAGGCGACGACGGGUAGCCGGCCU
rnacentral:rRNA from 1 species